GUCGCCGGAAAUGCCGCGAAUCUCGUCGCCGACUUUCGUGAUGGCGCGCGCGCUGUACGCGCCUCUUGCCCAGUUGUUCCCGCCUUGAGUACGUUUGAGGUAGCCCUGUUUGCCGUCCGUCGUCAUGCCCUGCGAAAGUCCGACCCACUCGAUGAGAUCCAAGUCGUUCGCACCCUCGUGGACAGUCUGUAUCCAGGAGACUCGAGAGAAAGACGCGCCUGCAGUGUUGAAGCGCGCGGUGGCGUAGAGCGGGAAGGCAGGCGCCUCAUCAGACGUCGCAAACGCCGCGCCAUCCUUGUAGUACGUGACGACGCCCGAGUCGAGCACGACCACUUGGAACGUCUCACCGACGAAGUAAUCGCCAAAGUCGCCGUCGCGCACGACGCCGUGUUCGGAGAUGCGGAUCACGCCGUUGUCGCACACAAUGCCGAAGUCGACCACCUCGUCGACGGAGUUCGUCGAGCCAGAGUUCAAGCCAAUCAUCAUGGACUUGUCCGUUUGGUCGCAAUCCGCGGAGACGCCACGCACUUCGUCGCCGAUCUUCGUGAUGGCACGUUUGCUCGUGGCGCCGACGUUCCAGCCACUGCCUGCCAUUGUGCGCGUCACUUGGCCCGCGGAAGACUCGACGCCUUCCGCGUCUUCAAACUCCAUGGCCGCCAAGUCGUUCGCGCCCUUGACAACCUUGUGAACCCAGCGCGCGUUGGCCAGCUCUGCGAGGUGGUUGUGAAACGACGUGUCCGCGUAGAGCGGGAAAGAAGGCGACGUCAAGCUCGUGUACUUGAGAUCGCCGUCGACGUAGAACUCAAUCGCGCCCGCGUCGUUCACGAUCACUUGGAAAGUCUCACCCGCGACGAAGACGCCGGCAUCGAACUUGUUCACGCCCUUCUCUUGGAAUCGGACCUGAUUGCCGUUGCAGAACACGGCGUAGUCGAUGGUCGUUUGGCUGUGGCCCGAGGGCGUGCUCGACAAGCCAAACUGCAAGUGCCUGUUGUCGGUGCGCAUGCAGUCGCCGGAAAUGCCGCGAACCUCGUCGCCGACUUUCGUGAUGGCGCGCGCGCUGUACGCACCUCUUGCCCAGUUGUUCCCGCCUUGAGUACGUUUGAGGUAGCCCUGUUUGCCGUCCGUCGUCAUGCCCUGCGAAAGUCCGACCCACUCGAUGAGAUCGAGAUCCCGUGAACCUUUAUGAACAACUUUUAUCCACUUCACAUUUUCGAGGUGUCCUCCACCUUCAUCAACGUAUCCAUCGGCAAACAAUGGGAAGAUCGGUUCUCUGCUACUAUUGUAGACAGAAUGUCCUUCUUUAUAAUAGUGAACGAUACCCUCGUCAUUAAAUGCGACCUGGAACGUUUCUCCCGCGAGGUAUGUUCCGAUCGUGGCCAUAAGCUCACCGUCUUCGUAAACUUCCAUUGUUCCGGCAUUGCAACCAACGGCAUACUCAAUAGCAUCGCCAUCCGAGGGUGUGUAAUGAGCGCUGCUCAAACCGAAUAUCAUUUUCGUUGUUGUGUCACUGCAAUCCGCAGAAAUACCGCGAACUUCGUCAUAAAUUUUAGUUACGGCGCGUUUACUUGUCGAGCGCACAAUGUCCAUUUUUUCAGGUGUAACCGGCAAGUACACGUCGCCGUGUGACACUUCACAUCGCUGGACUGUUUCAAAGUCCAUCAUGUUUAGCCAAUGCAUGUGGCUUAGCUUCGCACCUUCGGUGAAGAUUCGAGCCUGGGAGUAAAGAGGGAAUUCAACACUUUUAGUGCUGACAUGAAGAACAUUACCAUUUUGCAGAUACUCGAUGACACCAUGCUCGUUGAUGACGAUAGAAAAUGUCUCUCCAGGGCUGUACGCCGAAGGAGGCUCGACAAUGCGCUCGUGCCUUUGGAAGGCUGACGCAUUGUGUUGGUCAUUUAUGUAUUCGGGUGAAUCACUAUCCAAUGAAUCAAGUGCCAAGUCUGGCGAAGUACCAAGAUGUGUUGAAGGCGGUGGACCUUGAGCAUCGUUCUCCGGGGUCGGGACUUGAAGUUGGCCUUCAAUCCCAUGUGGUGUAUUCGGCUCGGGACGUCGAUGUGGCUCGAUUGUUUUGAUGACAACUCCAUCUUCAAGGAGACGCAACGUUCCGGCAUCACAGUAUAUCGCAAAGGACAGGUUCGUCUGCGCCGGAGCAGUAGCGGUUUCAUUCGCAGCGGUUUCAUUCAACUGAGCAUCUUGAUCACCUUGCACCAUGAGUCCAAACAUCAUCUGUGACUUGUUGUCGGAACAAUCGGCAGACACGCCUUUUUUGGUGUCAUUCCAACCGCGAAUUGAUGAACGACUCGUUGCGAAAGCAAGUAAUGAAGCUUCUUCGAUGCGUUUUGCCGCCUCUUCACUCAACACGUGAGCGAGAGAUCCAGGUGUAAGAGUCGCAUUCUCAGGUAGAAGGAACUCAACAGGCUCAAGGUCAUCGGCACCUUCAAUGAUUCGGUAAACCCAGCGCGCGUUGGCCAGCUCUGCGAGGUGGUUGUGAAACGACGUGUCGGCGUAGAGCGGGAAAGAAGGCGACGUCAAGCUCGUGUACUUGAGAUCGCCGUCGACGUAGAACUCAAUCGCGCCCGCGUCGUUCACGAUCACUUGGAAAGUCUCACCCGCGACGAAGACGCCGGCAUCGAACUUGUUCACGCCCUUCUCUUGGAAUCGGACCUGAUUGCCGUUGCAGAACACGGCGUAGUCGAUGGUCGUUUGGCUGUGGCCCGAGGGCGUGCUCGACAAGCCAAACUGCAAGUGCCUGUUGUCGGUGCGCAUGCAGUCGCCGGAAAUGCCGCGAAUCUCGUCGCCGACUUUCGUGAUGGCGCGCGCGCUGUACGCGCCUCUUGCCCAGUUGUUCCCGCCUUGAGUACGUUUGAGGUAGCCCUGUUUGCCGUCCGUCGUCAUGCCCUGCGAAAGUCCGACCCACUCGAUGAGAUCCAAGUCGUUCGCACCCUCGUGGACAGUCUGUAUCCAGGAGACUCGAGAGAAAGACGCGCCUGCAGUGUUGAAGCGCGCGGUGGCGUAGAGCGGGAAGGCAGGCGCCUCAUCAGACGUCGCAAACGCCGCGCCAUCCUUGUAGUACGUGACGACGCCCGAGUCGAGCACGACCACUUGGAACGUCUCACCGACGAAGUAAUCGCCAAAGUCGCCGUCGCGCACGACGCCGUGUUCGGAGAUGCGGAUCACGCCGUUGUCGCACACAAUGCCGAAGUCGACCACCUCGUCGACGGAGUUCGUCGAGCCAGAGUUCAAGCCAAUCAUCAUGGACUUGUCCGUUUGGUCGCAAUCCGCGGAGACGCCACGCACUUCGUCGCCGAUCUUCGUGAUGGCACGUUUGCUCGUGGCGCCGACGUUCCAGCCACUGCCUGCCAUUGUGCGCGUCACUUGGCCCGCGGAAGACUCGACGCCUUCCGCGUCUUCAAACUCCAUGGCCGCCAAGUCGUUCGCGCCCUUGACAACCUUGUGAACCCAGCGCGCGUUGGCCAGCUCUGCGAGGUGGUUGUGAAACGACGUGUCCGCGUAGAGCGGGAAAGAAGGCGACGUCAAGCUCGUGUACUUGAGAUCGCCGUCGACGUAGAACUCAAUCGCGCCCGCGUCGUUCACGAUCACUUGGAAAGUCUCACCCGCGACGAAGACGCCGGCAUCGAACUUGUUCACGCCCUUCUCUUGGAAUCGGACCUGAUUGCCGUUGCAGAACACGGCGUAGUCGAUGGUCGUUUGGCUGUGGCCCGAGGGCGUGCUCGACAAGCCAAACUGCAAGUGCCUGUUGUCGGUGCGCAUGCAGUCGCCGGAAAUGCCGCGAAUCUCGUCGCCGACUUUCGUGAUGGCGCGCGCGCUGUACGCGCCUCUUGCCCAGUUGUUCCCGCCUUGAGUACGUUUGAGGUAGCCCUGUUUGCCGUCCGUCGUCAUGCCCUGCGAAAGUCCGACCCACUCGAUGAGAUCCAAGUCGUUCGCACCCUCGUGGACAGUCUGUAUCCAGGAG
rnacentral:lncRNA from 1 species